rnacentral:rRNA from 1 species
UACGGAGGGUGCGAGCGUUGUCCGGAAUCACUGGGCGUAAAGGGUGCGUAGGCGGGUCUUUAAGUCAGGGGUGAAAUCCUGGAGCUCAACUCCAGAACUGCCUUUGAUACUGAAGAUCUUGAGUUCGGGAGAGGUGAGUGGAACUGCGAGUGUAGAGGUGAAAUUCGUAGAUAUUCGCAAGAACACCAGUGGCGAAGGCGGCUUACUGGUCCGGUUCUGACGCUGAGGCGCGAAAGCGUGGGGAGCGAUCCGG